GGGAGAAAGGGGGUUGAGAGGCUGUAUUGACAGCUGUGGAGGCAGCCCGCGUUCCCGGCAUGCCCCGGGGUGGCGGGGUUGGCUCUAACGAAUUUGAAUGAGGAGCCUCAGCGCUUUCGGCGCCAUUUUCGAGUGAUGCCUGAUCUCAUCAAUCUAGCGGGAGAGACGGGAUAACCUGUCCGAGAGUAUAGUGCCGCUAGGACUUCACCGAAAAAUCAUUUAAAAAUCGCCAAAAAUUACUUCUAGCAAAGGGCAGUCCGCGGAGCUUCGCCAGGGUUGGCGCAGUCGGUUUUGACCUUUAGGAGAGAGCCAAUUCUGGAGAACAACCUAACUUCUUUGAUUGAAUACUCACGUAAUGCAUUGGAGCAUGAUAGAAGAUUAAGGUAUAUUAAUGAAUUUAAUUUUAAAAGCAUGUAAUUUUAUAUCUUUACAAUAUAAUUCAGCUAGACUAUUGGUAAAGCUAAAAAUAUAGGGUAAGCUGAAAGCAAUUUGUAAGGAUUUAUUAAUAGACAGAAAUCCUAUGAAGUGGCCAAUGCUGAGUUGUCAGUAGCCUUGCUUAUUAAAACUUCAUAUAUGUUUUUGUACAGUUGAUGUUCUCAUUGUCUUGUGGGUUCAUCUCCAAACUGAAUUCAUGUAUUCAAAAAAUAAGCGAUAGUGAUUUUUCUUUUUUUUCUUAAGCUUGUUAUUACAGUGUUAUAUGUAAAGUAAUUAAAUAGUUGACAUUUUAGCUUUUAAAAUGGAGGGUUUAAAUCAAAUAGAAUUUGGUGCUUGGCUGUUUGACAGGUAGAGUGGUAGGUAGAGCCUGCAAAAUUAGAUAACUAAUGAGAAUAUUUUAAAAGUAUUAAAAGUAUUCCAAGUAACUGUCCUAAGAAUAGCAAUUUCAUUAGAACUGAAAAACUCACUUUCUUAAGCAAAAACUAUUAUCUUACUCAUAGAUACUCUGGUAAAAUAUUUAAAUCGUUCAUGUCAAAGUUGUAAACUCUUUAAAAAUAAAAUUGUAGCAUGCCUAAACGUCCAGGACUUUUAUUGUCUUAAUCUCGGAAUACUUUAUCAUACAACCACAUUUCUGGAUACUUUCUUUGAUUUUUAUUAUUUUACUUGAAAAUUUGAGAUACUAUUUAGCUAAUAAGAUUUUUGUUUUCUAGAUGGCAGUCUGGUAUCAUGAAAAUGAACUUAGUGAACAGUAUUACUCAGUUAAUUUUUGCAUAAUAAAAUAUUAAUUACAAUUUUUUGUUUUUUAAACCAUUUGCUAAAGUGAGAUUUACUGAAAUAUAACAUACUAUAAUUGUUUUCUUUAAAAUUUUUUACUUAAAAAAAUAAUUAUAUAUUUAAGACAUGGUAUAACAAAGUUUUGUUUUCAUGAGAAAAGUGUGAUUUAAUCUUAACCAAACCAAAAACCCACUGCCGUCAAGUCGAUUCCAACUCAUAGCUACCCUACAGGGCUAAGUAGAACUGCCACAUAGGGUUUCUGAGGCUGUAAAUCUUUACAGAAGCAGACUGCCACAUCUUGGUCCUGCGAAGCCGCUGGUGGGUUUGAACCACUGACCUUUCAGUUAGCUGCUGAGUACUUUUAACCACUGGGCCACUAGGGCUUCUUUUGAUCUUAACAGUGAAAUGUAAUUAUCAUCAUAGUCAUAGAAUUCUUAUAAGCUUUAAACUGUAAAAUUUUUGAAAGCAAAUUCUCAAGUGUUUGGCUAAGAAUGAAUGUUUUAGAUAAUAGCAAAGUACUAAAAUUUAUUUGAUAUUUGUGUAUUAGAUAUUUAUGUUUAAAUGAACCUAGAAAUUGGAAUCCAUUAACAGAUUGGAUUAAAUAAAAUGUUGAAAAAUUAAUAGAAAUCAGUGUAAUGAAAGGGUAAGGUUCAGGUCCUUUUAAAUUGGCAUCACUGCUGUAAGGUGGUUGUUUCAGAUAAAUACAAGGCAUAUAAUGUCUGCAUAAAUUUAAUUUGAGAUUAUGGUAUGAAAAAUUGGCCUAGUUUGCAUAGGAUGAGAGUAAGUACAAUUUUCCCUCUGCCUUAACUUUGUUUUCUAGGUUAGAGAACAUUAAGAUGAAAAGUGAAAAUAUAUCUAGGUUCAAUUUCAAGUAUCUUUAGACACUGCCUUAAUGAGUUAAGUGGAGGAAGAGACAGCAUUUUAGUUCACAUUAUGAAGACGUAGAUCUACAGAUUGUUCAUAAUUUAGAGAGUUUAGGAUUUGUCAUCUUCAAAGGUUUCAGAACUUAUUGUUUGGACACAAAUAUUUGGCAUCAUGCAAUUCCCCUUUCUAUAAUUAUGUAGUGGCUUAUAAACUUCCAAAAAUUUUGAUUACUAAAUGAUUUAAUAUCACAGAUAACACAGUUUUCUUGUAUUUGGUCAAUUCAUACAGGGUAAGAAACCUAAUCAGCAGUAUGUGUUAUUUUAGGAGACAGGUUAAUAAGGGCUUUUACUGCUAUGCGUGAUUGUCUAUCCAUUAACUACCCCUUACAAGGCAUUUUGUAAGGAUUUUUGGCUUUUUUAAAUUUGCAGACUUGAUUAUCUGUAUCUAACUAAACCUUGAUGUUUAGUUCAUUAUGUCAGUUUGGAGGAAGGGAUUUAUUAUGUUAAUUUUCAUCUUUUUUCAAUGAUAAAUUCAUAUGUCGUUUGUGCAGUAUUUAUACUUGUGGUUAAAUGCAUUUUCAGGAUUGACUAAAUUCAUUUUCAGGAAAAAUUCUUGAUUGUUCCCAAAAUACAGUUACACUGUCAACAUUCCUGUUUUAUUGAAAUAGUUAUCUUUAGGGGAAAAAAAAUUUAUUAUAAAAAAUACUUGUAUAAACUAGAAUACAGGUAAUGUAACAAAUCUAUCUAUAUAAGGACUUUAAAAUUAUUAUUUGUCAGUGAUGUAUAAUACUAGUUUAUAAGGACAACGUAUGUUUUAAGCAAUUGUGUAAUGUUACUGAAGAUUCAUUAAAUAGUAGAGUUUUAAUGACUUAAAUAAAAUUUUUUAAAAAUUUAGGCAAUUUUGUAUAUGUUUGUAUCAUGUAUGUUUUUCCCUGAAAUAGCAAAUACAUCCUUAAUCUAUUUCUAUUGUUUUUAUUUAAAUAAGACGUAAGUCAUCAGAAUUAUAUUUUGAUAAGCAUUUUCAAAAUGUGAUAAUUAUAUAAUAGCAUUUUAAAUUUUAGUGAAAAUUAAGUCAUUGAAGUAGAAUUUCUGUUCUCAGCACCAUAAACCACUCUUUGGAUAUUUCAUUAUCAUAUAUUUGUUUUAGUUUUACUUUCCUGUUUUCAUGGUUAGAAAUUCACUUGGAGGAGAAAUAUAUAGCCUGUUUCAAGUGCGGUUGCUAAGCCUGAUUAAUCUGCUGGAUAACAGUUUAUGAAUCCAGUACUGUUUCUAAAUGUCUUUUAAUUUUUUUAAAUCCUUCUUUGGUGUUUGCUGUUAGUCUUUUUAUUGUGUAUCACUUCUACUAAAUAUAUUUAAAAUUAUCUUGUUAUCCUGUUAUCUUCAGAUUAUUUCUUUUAUUAUUAGCAUUUGUUCCUCGUUGAGCUGUUAAAACAGAAAAAUUACUCUUUCAGUUUUGAGAAAAAGAAAAGAUUACCUUUUUUAUGAAUGUAUGAUGAGAAUUUAAAACAUUAGUACUUUUUCACACUUUUAAUAAAUCUCAAAGCUAGCCUUCUUGACUACAUAUUAUUAGCUUCACUUACCAGCCAAUUCUAGCAUGUGUGUUGUGUAUUUCUCAUAAUUUGUGUAUACAGUUUUUUUUUUUUGACUUUUUAAAAUACUUCCUGAAUCAAAUUGCUUAAGGUGCUGAAGGAUAAGAAUUAUAUUUAAACUUAAAAUUGUAGGUCUGUAUAAACAGCAUCACACUAUGUUUAAAGAUAAUUUAACAGUACAAAUAUUUCUGUAUCUGUUGCAAAUCUGUCAAUAUUAUGUACUUACUAAGUUUUUUGCCUUGUACUCCACAUUGAAAGUAGAUAAAUUGCAUGUGGAGUUUUUUUUUGCUUAUUUGUAAGAACCUGAUGGGCUAAAAUCUUAUUUCUUUACUAUUAGUAUCUGAAGUCAAACGUGGUAGUCAUUUAGAUAGUGGUACCUGGGAUACUGGGGCUUUUUGUUAGCAAAAUACAGUUUUUUUUUCUUGAUUGGAGUUUGGACACUUCCUUAUUUUGCAGGAAAAUAGCUAGAGCAUAUACUCUUGUUAUGAAUUUAUCCUGAAACUGGUUAAAACUCUUCUGAGAAUUUUCAUAAUUGAGCAGUUAAAUCUAAACUUAGGAACUGUAGAUCAUUACAUGUGUUAAUUUUCCUUAGAUACAUCAUAGAUUUUCUUUCUAAUCAAAACAACAAUUUUGUUCCUUCUUCUCUCCCACCCGUAAAAAAAAUGCCUUCUUAAAUAUCAUGUACUGAUACGAGCAAACCUGGUAUGUAUAGGUUGACCUGAACCAUUUCUCUCUUUCUGUGUUAGUUGCAUGUGCUUUUCUCAGCUUACUGCUUAAGGAGCAGCAGCAACAGUGAAUAAACAAGUAUCACCACAGCCCUUGUUCUUGUCCCGUACAGCUGGGAGCAGGGGCUGGGAGAUCUUUGCUGCUUGUCAGCUAUUGUACAGAAUAGCAUCAGUAUGCAAUAAUGUGGCCAGUGAGCCUGCACCCACCAGCUUUUACAGACCAGGUGGGAAGGGUCCAACUGUCAGUGUACCCAUAUACAGUAUAGAGAAUACGUUCUUUGACAAAAAAUGUUUUUCUUCUUAAAGCAACAUAAAGGGAAUAGUAGGUAUUUGUGGUUCUUAGACUCUUAUAUUUUACUAUUUUCUUUCUGGUCUUCAUUUAAUUUUUAUUCGUUAAUUACAUCUGUUAGAGUGGAAAGCUGUCUUGCUUUGGAAAAAAAUUAUUAAUCAGUUGUUGAUAUCACAAGUUAGGUAAUAUAUUGAGGAAAGAAAUGUUGACUAUGGCCACACAGGGAGACUUUCUUUCACUUUUGGGCCAUAUUCUGAGCCCACAUUAUCUUCAUUUUAUAGCCCAAUUUAAACAAGGUCACAUUCUUGUUGACUUCACUAUAACUGAAAAAAAUACCUGUAUUACUUACUGUUGUGUAUAACUUUAAAAGAAAAAAAAAAAAGCAGGUUGUAGGUGGAAAUUUGUCUUUACCUUUUCUUACAAUUAAAAUAAUAUAACUUUUUAUCUGGAAAGUUUGGAUUAUUCUAAAUAUUUUGAAAAUAGGACUUUGUCAUUUCAAAUGGUAUAGAAGUUUGGUCUUGAUUUUUACAAUCUGCAUUUGCACAGAUUUGCAUAACUAAUUAUUUGUACUUUUUUUUCUUCUAUAUCUAAAUGAUUCCAGUGGAAGUGAGUAUCGGCUUUCUACUAAAGUUCUGAUUUCAUUUGUAGAAUUCUUGGUGGAAAACUAAAAGUACCUUUUAUUUUGCUGUAUAAGCCUAAAGUUCCAAUUUAAAGUCUGACAUUUGCAGUAGCAUUCUUUUUAAAAGGUAACCUUAGUUUCUCUCUUGUGGUCUUCAUUAAAAUCACCACCAAUCACUUCUACUCUUAAUGUUUCCUUUACUAAUCACAGUAAACUUAGAAUAUUAGUUCCCUUGUGAUAUUGCAAAAAAGGCUUUGUGAUAGUAUCUGUUUUAAUUAUCUGAAAUAAUUAUUGAAUCCAUAACCUAUUCUACCAUUAUAUAGUCAAAUAUAUUCAACAAUAAGUUGAGAUUACUUUUUUUUUUUUUUUUUGCUCAUGCUAAGGUGUUUUUUAAUGUGUUGAUGUAAUUUAAUAGAUACCAUGUUAAUUACUGUUGUCUACUCUUAGCCAAAAAAUGAAUUGUAUAAUCUUUUAAAUUGAAAACACUUUGUUUUACUAUUGAUUACUGUAUAAGGUGUCUGUGGACCACCUGUACCAGAAUAACAUAGAAUGCUUAUUUUAAAAGCAUUUUUCCAGACCUGCUCAAUCAGAGUCUUUGGAGUUCGGCCUCAGGAAUUUACAUUUUUUUACAAGCUUUAAGUAAGAUUUUUUUUUUUUUUUUUUUUUAAGAGGCACCACAUGCUAAAAGCACUGCCCAAAACAAAAUGAGAGAGGAUUCUUCACCCAGUAUAUCAUUACCUUUUCUGUUUUUGUUUGGGUAUUUUUUUCCUUUUUGGUCAUCUUGGAUCUAUGCUCAUAUGUUCAGUAUCUAAUUAGGAAUCUUAUCAUUUCUACCACAAUAGUUCUAGACUAAGUGUCUGAAUUUCCUCAAUCAUGUGAAGAAAAUUUCUAUUAUCAGAGCUUUAUUUUUCUGCAAAUGCCUUGGAUCAAAUUUAAUCCAUUCUAUUACCUAGUAUAUAUACAUUUAGUACCUGUAUUUAUACCUAUACUUGAUGAAUACAAAAGAAUUGAUCACUUAGGAAGUUUUAAAUUUUUUCAUUUAGAUAUUAACUUUUCAUGUACUUCAAAAUAUUGGAGAAAAUACAGAAAGGGGAACCUUUGAUAUGCUGCUUACGGGUGCCUUUGGUAAUAUCCUAGUAAAGUUGAAGAUAUGCAUAGGCUUGAAUUCAACAGUUCCAUUCCUAGAUGCCCUAGAUAAACUCAGACAUGUAAUAAAGUCUAUUUUUAUUUUUAAUAGGAAAAAAUUUGAAAGCAACGUAGAUGUUAAACAACAGGAGAGUGGCAAAUUGUGACAUAGUCAUGAUGAACUGUGUUAUGCAGCUGUUAAAAUGAGAGGUGCAUUUCCUACUUCAGCAAACAAAAACAAGUGACAGAAGUUUAUAUACAGUCAUGUAUGGUAUGAUACCAUUUAUGUAAAGUUUGAAAGAAGUAAUAUGUAUUGUUGAUAAGUACUUGGGUUUGUAGUAAUAUAAAAACAUGCAUAGGAAAUAAUACCAAAUUUAGGAUUGUGUUUAUAUCUUGGGAGACUACAACUGUGUGUAGUCUUUUUUCUUUUAAAAAAAAAAAAAAGCAA